AGCGAACGCUGGCGGCAGGCCUAACACAUGCAAGUCGAACGAACCCUUCGGGGUUAGUGGCGGACGGGUGAGUAACAGGUGGGAACGUGCCUUGAGGUUCGGAAUAACUCAGGGAGACUUGUGCUAAUACCGUAUGUGCCCUUCGGGGGAAAGAUUUAUCGCCAUUGGAGCGGCCCGCGUCUGAUUAGCUAGUUGGUGAGGUAAAGGCUCACCAAGGCGACGAUCAGUAGCUGGUCUGAGAGGAUGAUCAGCCACAUUGGGACUGAGACACGGCCCAAACUCCUACGGGAGGCAGCAGUGGGGAAUCUUGCGCAAUGGGCGAAAGCCUGACGCAGACAUGCCGCGUGAAUGAUGAAGGUCUUAGGAUUGUAAAAUUCUUUCACCGGGGACGAUAAUGACGGUACCCGGACAAGAAGCCCCGGCUAACUUCGUGCCAGCAGCCGCAGUAACAC
rnacentral:rRNA from 1 species